AGGAUGAACGCUGGCGGCGUGCCUAACACAUGCAAGUCGAACGUCCUGUCUCGCAAGAGGCAGGGAGUGGCGAACGGGUGAGUAACACGUGGGCAACCUGCCCCGAGCUCUGGGAUAACUCCGGGAAACCGGGGCUAAUACCGGAUAUGACCCGAGAAGACAUCUUCUCGGGUGGAAAGUUUUUCGGCUCGGGAUGGGCCCGCGGCCUAUCAGCUUGUUGGUGGGGUAACGGCCUACCAAGGCGACGACGGGUA
rnacentral:rRNA from 1 species